CUACAGAACCCCAUGAUGAUAUUCCAACUUCUGUCUAUAAAAGUGGGAAGAAAAGUUUAUGUUGGGACCAACAUGGUUGCAUUCUUCUGAGAGGCUGAGGUGACAAAACCAUUCCCAUUUGUCCUUGAAUUGGAAGAUGACGAUCUCUGCCAUCAAGCCUUCGUUGUUUUUGACAGACAGUCACUCCAGCAAUACACCCUCCUUGGUGAUGUUGACAUGUUUUAAACUUUUUUUAUGUUUUGGACAUUAAUUUUACUAAGCAGUGCACAUCAGUGUGGGUGUUUUUGAAGACUGUUUUUUACAAACUCCCAAGAACGGAAUCCCUUUCUAUAAGAAGUCUGUAUAGUUAUUUGUCAUGCUAAGGUGAUUUUUUAUGUUGAUCAUAUAUUGACUGUUUGUGCAACUUAGUGUUGAUCUUAUGUGUUACAUUAACCAUUUCUUAUUACACGGUUCUCUAAAAUGCUAGUUUCUGAUUGGCCAGUCGUGACAUUCUACUACUGCUCAAAACUAAAAACUCCAAUGCUGCAAAUCAUUUUGACAGGUACAGUGUUAUAUUACACAAAAAUUAAAUAUCAAUGUCUAUUAAUUACAUAUCCGACAUUAAAUUUACAAAUGAUUAAACCAAUGUGUUCGUGACAUUUGUCCUGAAGAAUCUGUUGGGGCUUUUUUCUGUGAUGACAUGCUGCCAAUACAUUAUCCCUUACUUGUACAACUUUUUACUUGAUCUAAUUGUAAUGUUAACCGGGUAUCUGUCAUUUUAGAUUGUGAGAUAUAAUACUAAUAUAUUUUUUUAUUAGAAAGUUGAUUGUUUGUGUAGGGCUAUGUACUCUUUUAUUGUUCAUGUGCAAUAAAUAUGCUUUUUCAAUUAAA